GGCGGACUUGAAUCGUGUGGUGCAGCGGGCGGCGUGCUGCUGCUUUGUUGUGCGGGCCGGGAUAAAUCUUGAGCUCACUAUCUCAAAUCAUUUCCAAUAAGCCAGCGCCAGGCGCACGCCCUUACCAUAAAUAUGCAAUGCGCCGCCUGUGCUGCUAGUGCUGCCAGCCCUGGGUAUUUUAUCACUGUGUGUGGUUCGAGCUGCUCGCAUCCUUUUGCAUGAUGCGGAUGCUUUCGUUUAUUCGAUCGGCACUCAAACGGACCCACCGAAAACCUGCGCCCGUAUUCCCCAAGUCCCACUCACCCGAGCGAUGUGCGGGACGUUUGCAUAGCCAAAUGAAACUCCCUCUGCACACAAAAAAAAAGAAAAAAAAGAUGAACAAAACUGGGGAGCUAGGCUGCUUUCGAAAUCAAUCUACUUCAUGCAAUUCCCCAGCUGGGGAGAGUUGCCCGUGUGUGGCUCGGGGAAAAAAGAAAAAGAUUAUUUCAUGAAACAUUCAUGCACUUGAUUCGCUUUGCCAAAAUCCUCCAGAAUUUGAUCUGACUGAAAGAGGGAGCUUGUGUAUGAGUGAGAGAGAGAGAAAGAGUAAGAGACUACUCGUUGCAGCAUUGUAGUGUGCGGCUCUACUGCGAUGUGGUUUGUGCCGCUACUGCUGACGACUGCUGUGCAUGGUCGUAAAAUCGUAGCAAGCUAUGGAAACGGUUGAUGAGAAGCAAUUGUCAAUUGACGUGCCCCGGUGGUGUGUUGUGUUUUGCUCCAUCCCGAUUUUGGGAAUGUUUUGCGUCCGCUCUUUGUCUGUGUGUAUGCCAUUUUCUCUAAAGAUCAUCGCUGUAAAAGUACCGAAUCGUUAAGUGUGCAGUCAACAGGAAAGAACAAAACUGAAAGAACCGGGAUAUUGCAGGACAAAAGCAUUACGUGCCCGCAACGCACGUUGCCUGCUGCUAUCGGUUCAUCGCAAGAAACAGAUCGUAAAUCACGGCGCUACUCGCAGCACGGGGCGGAUGUAAAUGAGUGUGCGGCGCCAUCCUUGACACUCGAGUAAUGUGGGCACGACCGUGCCCUCUAUCCCGCAUUUGCUCAAACGGUAGAAAAAAUAAUACUAUGAAAGCGCUUGCUUGAAGCUUUAAUAUUGCCUCCGUGCACGUCAUCGCCCGGUGCCUGUGACAGCAGCUUCCGGCAGAUGGAUACGCACCCGUCAAUCAGUCACUUCGGCCUGCGUCUGCUCGUAUUCGGGCCGUUAUAUAGUACCUACGGGGCUGCUUCACUGCGAACCUUCCCUGCUGCUUCCCUUAUUUCCUUAUGUCAACAGCUGGCAACAGAAUAUCACUCCAGAGCAGGCCAAAGUCAAACACGUGCCAAAAGAUAUGCGGCCUUUGACGGGAUGCAUCGUAUGUCCUUUUGAUGGAUGUUUAUGCUAAGAGGCACCUUCGUCAAGGAUGUCGAAGGCAACAACACAAAAACCAUUCGCCUGUCGCCUUCCACCCUCUGCUGCCUUUUCCUUGGGCACAUAAGCGCAAAUACAUAUCGCGAGGUAGAGCCAAACAUGUAAAUAAGAAAGCUAUUCCGAGCUCUUUGCCUUUUUUGAAACAUUCUUUUCUUGGAAUGCGACCUUGAACGGAAACAUUUUCCAUUCUGGACAGAUUGCUGGUCGCAUGAGCAAUGCGGAAAUGUGAAGCUGUUUAAAGCCUACAUAACAUGCUGAUGCCUUUUUGUACCACCUAUAAGGGACCAGGUAGUUUGGCAGCGUUUUGGUGAAAGGUUGUUAUCAGUCUCACCAUUGUUCGGUGCAAAUCAACAAGA